UGGCUCCCAACUCAGGACCUGCUCUGCGUUGUACAGGCGAAUCUUCGGGUGCUGAGGAGCGGGCAGCUGGGAAAGAGGGCUUCCAGAAAGCAGUUCCACUAACCUGGGGAGAGCCCAGAUGGCAAAGGAAGGCGUGAUUGCAGCCUGGGAUGGCUGGAAGCACUCUUAGCUAAACCGGGCUUGGACUGCCUGACGCCAUCUUCAGAGAGGCUUGGGAAGCUGGGCUCAGCCACGAGGCUGGCUUGGACAGUGGUUAAAGUCCUUCGAAUUCUUCACUCUUG
rnacentral:lncRNA from 1 species